UACGUAGGGUGCAAGCGUUAAUCGGAAUUACUGGGCGUAAAGGGUGCGUAGGCGGUUCAGCAAGCAAGAUGUGAAAUCCCUGGGCUUAACCUAGGAACUGCAUUUUGAACUGUUGGACUAGAGUGUGUCAGAGGGGGGUGGAAUUCCACGUGUAGCAGUGAAAUGCGUAGAGAUGUGGAGGAACACCGAUGGCGAAGGCAGCCCCCUGGGAUAACACUGACGCUGAGGCACGAAAGCGUGGGUAGCAAACAGG
rnacentral:rRNA from 1 species